UACGUAGGGCGCGAGCGUUGUCCGGAAUUAUUGGGCGUAAAGAGCUUGUAGGCGGUUCGUUGCGUCUGUUGUGAAAAUCCGGGGCUCAACCCCGGACUUGCAGUGGGUACGGGCAGACUAGAGUGUGGUAGGGGAGACUGGAAUUCCUGGUGUAGCGGUGAAAUGCGCAGAUAUCAGGAGGAACACCGAUGGCGAAGGCAGGUCUCUGGGCCACUACUGACGCUGAGAAGCGAAAGCAUGGGGAGCGAACAGG
rnacentral:rRNA from 1 species